CCCGGUGAAAUUUUAACGGCCGCAGUUAGGAGCUGUGCUAAGGUAGCGUAGUAAGUUGUCCUUUAAAUGGGGAAAGGUAUGAAUGGUUUGACGUGAGAAAAGCUGUCUCAGGCGGAAGAAGGGAAAUUUUCUUUUUGGUGAAAAGUCCAAAAUAAAAUUAAAAGACGAGAAGACCCUUUCGAGCUUGAUAAAAACUGAAAAGAAAUUUUUGGUUAAAGUUUAGUUGGGGCAACUUAGGAGCAAAGGAAGACUCCUUGAGGGUGUAGCGAUCCAAAACUUUUGAAUUAAGAAAAAGCUACCGUAGGGAUAACAGCGUUAUCUUUUCUGAGAGAACAAAUUGAAGAAGAG
rnacentral:rRNA from 1 species